GCGUGAGUGAUGAAGGCCUUAGGGUUGUAAAGCUCUUUCGCCCACGACGAUGAUGACGGUAGUGGGAGAAGAAGCCCCGGCUAACUUCGUGCCAGCAGCCGCGGUAAUACGAAGGGGGCUAGCGUUGUUCGGAAUGACUGGGCGUAAAGCGCACGCAGGCGGCGCGUCAAGUCAGAGGUGAAAGGCCCGGGCUCAACCUGGGAACUGCCUUUGAGACUGACGUGCUAGAGACCGAGAGAGGGUAGUGGAAUUCCCAGUGUAGAGGUGAAAUUCGU
rnacentral:rRNA from 1 species